CCUACGGGAGGCAGCAGUCGAGAAUCAUUCACAAUGGGGGAAACCCUGAUGGUGCGACGCCGCGUGGGGGAAUGAAGGUCUUCGGAUUGUAAACCCCUGUCAUGUGGGAGCAAAUUAAAAAGAUAGUACCACAAGAGGAAGAGACGGCUAACUCUGUUCCAGUAGCCGCGGUAAUACAGAGGUCUCAAGCGUUGUUCGGAUUCACUGGGCGUAAAGGGUGCGUAGGCUGUUUCGUAAGUCGUGUGUGAAAGGCGCGGGCCCAACCCGCGGACGGCACAUGAUACUGCGAGACUAGAGUAAGGGAGGGGGAAGCGGAAUGCUCGGUGUAGCAGUGAAAUGCGUAGAUAUCGAGAGGAACACUGGUGGCGAAGGCGGGUUCCUGGACAUUAACUGACGCUGAGGCACGAAGGCCAGGGGAGCGAAAGGGAUUAGAUACCCGGGUAGUC
rnacentral:rRNA from 1 species